UUGGUUAAACAAGGAAUAGGAACGUGUUAAAAGAACGGCAUGGAAAGGCCGGCCAUAGAGGGUGACAGCCCCGUAUUUGAAAAUGCAAUCCUUCUUUUAGUGGCUCCUGAGUAUCGCGGGACACGUGGAACCCAGCGAGAAUCUACCGGGACCAUCCGGUAAGGCUAAAUACUCUCUUGUGACCGAUAGUGAACUAGUACCGUGAGGGAAAGGUGAAAAGCACCCCUGCGAGGGGAGUGAAAUAGUACCUGAAACCGCAUGCCUACAAGCAGUGGGAGGACUAUGGCCGCAAGGCAAAGUCUGACCUCGUGCCUAUUGAAUAAUGAGCUGGCUAGUUAAUCUCAGUGGCAAGGUUAAGCGGAAGCGAGCCGAAGCGAAAGCGAGUCUGAACAGGGCGUUCAGUCGCUGGGAUUAGACGCGAAGCGGGAUGAUCUACCCUUGGCCAGGAUGAAGUCCGUGUAACAACGGAUGGAGGUCCGAACCAGUGUUGGUUGAAAACAGCUUGGAUGAGCUGAGGGUAGGGGUGAAAGGCUAAUCAAAUUCCGUGAUAGCUCGUUCUCACCGAAAUAGCUUUAGGGCUAGCGUCGUAUGUUCCGUCGUGGUGGUAGAGACAUGAUUGGACUAGGGGGCUUCCCAGGUUACCGAAUCCUAGCCAAACUUCGAAUGCCAUGAACGAGUAAUACGGCAGUCAGAC
rnacentral:ncRNA from 1 species